GUUCCAGCAGCCGCGGUAAGACGGAGGGGGCUAGCGUUGUUCGGAAUGACUGGGCGUAAAGCGCGCGUAGGCGGUUCGGUAAGUUGGAUGUGAAAGCCCGGGGCUUAACCCCGGAUGUGCGUUCAAGACUGCCGAACUCGAGACCGGAAGGGGAGAGCGGAAUUCCCAGUGUAGAGGUGAAAUUCGUAGAUAUUGGGAAGAACACCGGUGGCGAAGGCGGCUCUCUGGUCCGGUUCUGACGCUGAGGCGCGAAAGCGUGGGGAGCAAACAGGAUUAGAUACCCGUGUAGUCC
rnacentral:rRNA from 1 species